GCUUCGUGCGCGCAUACGCACCUUCUCCUCCUCGGUACGGAAGACGCCGGCGCCAAAAAGUUUCGCGUAAAAGCUAACUUUGCGACUUAUUUUUCUUGCCUCACCCAGCAACGAGCCAACGGCACAUGAGACGCAUCCGUCAUGCGCCAGACGGGCCACUGAAGCGAGCGAGGCCAGCUGUGCAUGUGAAUUUUGCCGGUUCUGCGACCCGUCACUUUUGGAUGUGGCCUGUUUGUUAGGCGCCCGCCGUAUUCUUGCGCUCCGUCUGCAUUUCGACGAACUACAGCAAGAUCGCCUCACUCUUCUGUCUGGGCCCCUUCCUGCUGGUCAAGAUCCAGGCCUCUAGGUCCACGAUAUUUCCAUGGUCCUGGGUGCACAGUUGUAACGAAGGAGUGGAGCAGACGCAAUCACGUGAGCAGGAGCGCACACGAAAGUGUCUCCGAAAGUCCGCCAGCCAGUCAGAGGAGCUGCUAUCCGAGGACACAAUGCGAGACUUGCGAUCCCGCAUAUUCAAGUCACUACAAAUGGACCGCAAGAGGGAGAGUUCUUGGCUCUGUUUCUUAUGCUCUUGACUAUUUGACAUGCCUGUGGGCGUGCACCUGAGGAGUUCUCGUGAACUCCUAAAGAACUCUACGUGGAUGGAGCUCUCGCGUCUUUUACGCCAAGCAAAACUCUAUUGGCCGGUAGUAUGUUGUCAACAUAUAUAUGUCUAAACGAUAAAUCAAAACUACCACCAGCAUGUAGGAAAACACAUUCUUGUGGUGACUGUUCUGUAAGCCACAUAUAUCAUGCUUUACAACACAUUUUAGAAAAGAAUCAUUUUCACUACGCCAAGUAUUGAGCAGAAAUAAAAAACGAAGGUACCAGACCAUACUGCACUGUUGGCUACAGAUUAUACGUUUCAUUAGAAGACACAGUGAUAGAGCUGAUGAGUUGUUGAAAAAAUUAGUGUUUUUUUAAUGGCAGGAAAGGUUCACAAACGGCUAGUUCAUGCUGACUCACUAAAUGCGAGACUUGAACUCACCAGUUGCUAUUUGCUGCAAUGUUACUUGCACAAUCGGUGGAUUUUUCGGUGGCAGCAGAAGUAGCUGAUCGGGCCGAGAUGCAUUGGCAACGUCUGUCUGGGAAGAGACUUGACUGCUGCUCAUGGCCGGAAUCGCUGAGCCUUGGACUGCUGCAGUAUUGAAAUAAACUAGAUCGUUACAGACAAGCAUGAAAAUAUGUUCUAAUUUUGAAGGCUAAUUCUGAAGGCACCGCUACAACCUUGUUUCUUAUAUUACGCAUUUAUUAAUGAACACGUAGUGCGUCUACCGAAUAAAGUCUCAUGAAGUUGUCCCCACUUUAAAAUUUCAGAGCACUCGAAAAAUGCACAAUCUCCUAUUGAAGCCUCCAUAUUUGAUGUAUACUUCUCAACGCACUCCUGAAAAACUAAACCACAGAACUUGAGCAAAAGUCUAUUCUGUCACCUUUGAAGUUCUGAAAUCGUCACACAGUUAUUAUAAUCCACUCGAAAUAGAAAACUAAAUGCAGAUAGACUUGUGAAAACAUUUUAUCGUGUGCGACAAGAAAAUUUAAAAUCGUUAGUCAGCAUUGGGGCCAUGUCUAACAGUUGAUUCAGUUGACGAGUAACAGGCGCUCACAGUUUGUUCAAGUCAAUAAUGAAGCGUUCCAUUCAGCCACGUGGGAUGUUGUGUGUCGGAAGGCCCUCUUUUAUUCACAUCAUACAUGGGUGAUCUGCUUUCCAGGUGUCAGGCACAUAUUCUUCCUGAAAACGCUUGAUAAAGCAUUACUUACACUGCUCGAAAGCGAGUUGUCGUUCAGAAGACACAUCUUUUGGCGACUCUGUCGUACACAAGUUUACUGGCCCAUUGCAUUCAUUUACAUUCACUAAAAUCCACUGACAGGGUGUAGAGCGUACACAGAAAGCAAACAAUGUCUGAAGUUGGCAACAAAUAUCCAAAUAAAAGUGUCUAACACCACAGAAAUAAUAUGUUCUGCUCAAACAGAAAUAAAAUCACUGGCCAACACUGGUCUCUAUUGUCUACUUUUAGAAUAUUUAUUGUUUUGGUAGGAUCCUACAUGUAUUACUUGGGCAUCCAAUUCUGAGAAGCGAGUCUUACCAUAAUUGGCCUGUUUUCGUCUGCUGAAAAAAAAGUGACUAUCCUAGUUAUCGUCAAAUACCCUUUCUUUCGUUAGUCCAUUCAAUGCAGAAUAAUUAUACCC